ACAAUACAAAAAAAUAAGUAACUGUAGUUCCACAUAGUUUCGUAAAAGUAUCUAAGAGUUAGGAGUUUCUUUUGUGCUUAUUAAUAUCACAAACUGUAACUUAAAACAUUGUUUUUUCAUAACAUUUGUGAAAACCUAUAUAAAUAGGAAAGCAUCAAACUUUUUAAACAUCACAACAAAAUAUCAAAACAAAUAGAUUUAAAAAUCGGUAAUUCUUAACUACUACUAAAUUUCGAAAAAGAUGAAAUCUGGUGUUUUAUUUGCAACUCUUCUAGUAAUUUUUGUGUCAUGUGCCUCAAAUAUUUUUGCAAAAUCCUCUUGUGAAGAUAAAACAGAUAUUUCAAGUCAAGCACCUAGCCCUCAACUUGAUAUCCAAAUAAAAAACCAAGUGCUUCAUGAUAAAAAAAUUAAACCUCAUGCUGCCAAUAAUCCAAUUGGAUUUUGUCAAGAAUGUGCACAUCAUUGUAUUAGAAAGAAGAGGUUUAUGCUAGAAUGCCGAAACUUUGCUUGUUACUGUGAUCAUAGCAGAUAUAAUCAGAGAAUAUGUAAAGGGUGGCAAAGAUUAUGGUGCAUUAAUUACUAAGAUGUAUUUUGGAAUUCCAAUAUAAAAUAAAGAAACCAUUAUAUUAUUUACUGUUCAAUUUUAGUGUUUUUACUUCACGUAUUUGUUACGUUAACUAGCUUGUAGGUUAUGUAUGGGUGCAUAUAUAUUUUUUUAAAAAAUCAGCAUAUUAAAAUGGAAUGAUUAUACAUAAGUUACGGAUUUUUAUUCAAAAUUUACGGUGGAGAUAUUACGAUUUGGUAGUUAAGACAAAUUUUAAUGUCUCAAAAAAUUCAUAAGAAAACAUUUUUAAUAGUUAAAAUAAUGAAAAUCUAGAGCUUACAAGUCUGAACUCUUGUAUAAGUUAUAUUUUUAAAUCUAAUAAAAUAUAUAUAUUCUUUAUAGAGAAAUUAUAACACAUGGCUGGAUAAAUUUUGGAUGGAUGUUACAAAAACCAAUAAUCAUAUGAUGAUCGUGAAGAGUAAAUAAA